rnacentral:rRNA from 1 species
GAUGAACGCUAGCGGCAGGCUUAACACAUGCAAGUCGAGGGGUAUAUUUCUUCGGAAUUAGAGACCGGCGCACGGGUGCGUAACGCGUAUGCAAUCUGCCUUUCACAGAGGGAUAGCCCAGAGAAAUUUGGAUUAAUACCUCAUAGUAUAAUGAGCUGGCAUCAGCCCAUUAUUAAAGUUCCAACGGUGAAAGAUGAGCAUGCGUCCCAUUAGCUAGUUGGUAAGGUAACGGCUUACCAAGGCAACGAUGGGUAGGGUCCUGAGAGGGAGAUCCCCCACACUGGUACUGAGACACGGACCAGACUCCUACGGGAGGCAGCAGUGAGGAAUAUUGGACAAUGGGCGCAAGCCUGAUCCAGCCAUGCCGCGUGCAGGAUGACGGUCC